UCCGCCCCUGGCUCUGAGCGUGGCAGCGUCCUUCCUCACGACGGUGCCGAUUCGGACCUCGACGAGUCGGAGCUGCGCCGGGAGCUGCUCAACGACAAAUGGCGACAGCUGUUCGACAAGUACGACCCCGAGGGCUUCGGCGAGAUCCCGUGGGACGACUUCGUGGAGGUGCUCAACCAGCCGGAGUUCGCCGCCGAGGUGGACGCGCACAAGCGGG